GGAUUGUGGCUCAGUGGUAGAGCGCUUGUAUAGCAUGUGCGAGGCCCUGGGUUCAAUCUUCAGCACCA
rnacentral:tRNA from 1 species